CUACGGAGGGUGCAAACGUUGCUCGGAAUUAUUGGGCGUAAAGCGCGCGUAGGCGGCUUGAUAAGUCGGAUGUGAAAGCCCUCGGCUCAACCGAGGAAGUGUAUACGAAACUGUCAGGCUUGAGUAUGGGAGAGGAUUGUGGAAUUCCCGGUGUAGAGGUGAAAUUCGUAGAUAUCGGGAGGAACACCAGUGGCGAAGGCGACAAUCUGGACCAAUACUGACGCUGAGGUGCGAAAGCGUGGGGAGCAAACAGGAUUAGAUACCCUAGUAGUCC
rnacentral:rRNA from 1 species